rnacentral:lncRNA from 1 species
GGAUAUAUUUGGGUAAUUUAAAUAAGAACUUUGUCGAAACCAUUUUUAUUUAAAAAAAAUAAAAAAUACUUGUCGAUGAAAAUUGGAGUCGCCACUAAUCUUUUAUUAAGGUGUGAUUGGAUCACCUAAAAACGACAUUGGUCUACGAGUUUUAGAAAAACGGGUUCAAAAGUCAAUUACGUACGAGGAAGGAUUAGCACCCUCGUAACGCCCAAAAAUUGAUACCAAAUUGAUUAAUUAAUGUCUUAACGUCGAGAGUUAAAAAUACGAUCCUUAAUUAAAUUAAAUUAUUUAUUAAGACUCCCUCAUUUUGAAACAGAAAACAUCACACCCAAUACGUUAGGGCACGAUAUUUUAUUUCUUCAAGAUGAGUUUGUCCAAAAGAUUUGUGUGAUAAAAUUUAAAAGAAUAUUCAUUUGUUUAAAAUUUAUAAGGAAAUCGUAGCCCAAUACAUUAGGGCACAAUUUCUCAAAAUUCUAAGCAUUGAAUAUUUCCUUUAUUAUUUUUUUAGAAAAAUUUUUAUCUCGAGAAAUCAACGCGUCACAUCCAAUACGUUAGGACACCACAUGUUGAAUUCCCGAUGACAAGCUUUAUUUUGUUUGAUUAAAGAGCAAAUCUCGAUCGUUAGAUUUUACGAAGAAAAUUGGAACCCAAUAUGUUAAGGCUCAAUUUUCUUGAAAAUCCUAAAGAUGAUGUAAUGUUAUAUUGUAUGUAUAAAUGUCGCGAUAGCAAAUACAACAAUAAUAAACACAGCAAUGGCAUAGAAAUAAUAUAAACAAAUAAAUGAACGAAACUAAUAUUCCUAAGAAAAAAUAAU